GCUGUGGCCGGUCUGAGGUCGCAUGUUAGACUGAGUAACAGCUUUGGACCAACAGCUUUGGACCUGUCUCGGGAGGCCCGUCAUAAUGGCUAUUAGGUUCUAGCGUACUGAUAGCUCUCGUCCUUUGGGAUAGGCUUUCCAAGCCUUUAUAAGUCUCUGUUGUUUAUCGGUAACAGUACCUCAGAUUCACACGUUUACGCCUAGGCAAAGGGGCUUUCGGUGGUAGGUCGCGGAUCUCCCGAAUACGUGUAACGGCUAAUGUCUCCUUAGUCGUGUCUGCUAGGUCCCUGUGAGAUAGCGUCUCACCAACAGGUUAUGAGCCCCGGGUAACGGUUCCCGGCGGUUAAUAUCUGUAGUUGCUUUUAGCUUGAGCAGGGAGGCUCGCUAGGCAACCGACAUGGGAAAAGGGUGUAAGACCGUCCUCUUAGCGGACGGGUCUAACUACUCACAGUGGCUAGGAGACUUCAGUGAUUUCCUUGCUACAUCCAAGCUGCGGAGCUAUAUGACCAACCCGUCGCCACCGGGACGCAAUGCGCAAGACGCUCUGGAGGAAGAUGCCCAGGCGCUUGGCUACCUGCGUCUAUCCUGCGAACUGCCAGUAAAGCAGUUGCUCAGGAACUGUCAGACGACCCUCGCCGCCAUGCAGCUCUUACAGCUGCAGUUCCGUUCUGCCUCUCAGGCCCGGCUAAGCCUGCUGGAGCCGCAGAAGCAACUGCGCAUGGGCGACGACGAGACGACCGCUGACUUCAUUCAGCGGGCGGAGCAGCUCCGCAGCGACAUUAUCUCGGCGGGCGGCCAGUGGGACGAGGCUGCUAUGCGUCAUGCAAUUCUCCACGGUCUGCCUCCACAGUACGCUAUUACUGUCGAGUUCGCGAUGUAUUUUUGCCCAACUUGACUACCCCGCAGCUCGUGUUUAUGCUGCGGGAGAAGGAGAACAACCUGAAGGCUCAAGCAAUCAAGUCCGGCCUGGUUGGAGCUGUUGGCCCUGGUCGCACCGCCCGUGGAGUCCGCGGUGCUGCCGGCGCCUCGGGCGCCGCGGGGGCCAUCGACACCUGCCGCUACUGUGGACAGCCUGGGCACUACGUCCGUGAGUGCCCCGUUAAACUGGCGGACGUGUCCGUAGGCCUCUACCGCAGCAAUGCGUUUGAACAGCCACGCAGUACUGGCGCCGGCAGCAGUGGCAGCGGCAACCGCCAUCGUGAUGGCGGCGGCGGAGGCACCAGCGGCGGCAAUAACAGCGGGGGCGACAGGACGCGAGAACGCGGCCGUUUUAGACGCGGCAACGGCCGCCGCAGCGGCAGCGACACUGCUGGCGGAAGCAGUGGCGGCGGCGGCGGCGGUGUAAGCUCACGCCAGAACCGUGCCACGGUGCUGGUCGUCGGUGGCAGUGGCAACAGUUCAGCAGUAGUCCUAGACUCUGGUUCACCUUACCACCUUACAGUUGACCGCUCACUGUUGCACAGUUACGUUCCUGCCGGCUCGCCCAAGCAAAUUAAGUGGGGGAACAACCAGCUAGCCGACGUCAUGGGAACAGGGCAGCUACUCCUACGGACACGCGAUGGAGAAACCGUCUUGCUACGCAACGUGCUCCAUGUCCCCAGCUCGGGACUGACGCUCAUGUCUGUCGACCUUCUCGUGACGCGCGGCUGCUCAGUCACGUUCGGCACGGACAAGGCGGGCCGCCGGUUCUCGCACGUAGGCCUGCCGCACGGCGGUUCGUCUAUCACCGCGUGGAGCGAGCGUGGGCAUUACGUCAUGGACGUGGACCUGCUGGCGCCGACCAAACGCGCCGUCAGUGCGCUCGGCGCUGCGGAAGACAGAGCCGGCGGAGGUACCAGCGCUAGCAGAUUUGCCGCCGGCGCCAGCAGCAGUGACGCCGGCGGGGACCAGCCAAACGGUGCCGGCAGCAGUGACACCGGCGGAGACCAGUCGAACGGCGCCAGCAACGGCCAAGGGCAGCUGGGCGCCCUUGAGUGCUCAGCCGCCGAACUCGCAGCAGCACAGCGCCUGCACCGCCAGUUCGGCCACCUUGGUUACCGGGCGUUGGAGCAGCUUAUCACCAAGCAGCUGGUACAUGGACCACGGGUCACUCCCGCGGCGCUGCAUCAGGCGGCAGAGGGUGUCUGCGAAGCCUAUGUCACAGCGAAGACUACAGCUACAGCUCACGUCAGCCGCGGUAACCGGCCUCAGCAUGUCCUGGAGGUCGUACACUCUGACCUGUGCGGGCCCAUGCCGACCACGGGCCGAGGAGGGGCUCGCUACUUGCUAACGCUGCUGGACGGUGCCUCCGGUCUGUCUGCCGUUCGCACACUGGUUAGCAAGAACCAAGUGGGCGAAGCGCUGCAGGACAUGGUGACGCAGCUGGAGGCUCGCAACCCGAAUGGUGCACGGGUCCGCACCCUUCAUAGUGAUAACGGUGGCGAGUUUGUCGCCGAGCAGCUGGCACAGUGGCUACGCCAGCGCGGCACUGCGCAUACCCACUCGGCGCCGUACACUCCGGAGCAGAACGGUGCAGCGGAGCGGCUCAAUCGCACGCUCCUCGACCGUGUGCGGGCUAUGCUGUACGAUGCCGCGCUCCCCGACAGCUUUUGGUCGGAAGCUGUGAUAUACGCCAACCUCCUGCGCAAUGUUUCCCCCUCUCAGGGCCGGGAGGCUACGCCGUGGGCAACUUAUCAUGGCGUCACCCCCGACGUCAGUCACCUGCACACCUUCGGCUGCCUGGCAUACGUCCGCGUCCCAACCAGCCAGCAGGUUAAGCUCGGUCCCCGCGCAGAGGCGGGAACCUACCUAGGACCAGAGCGCGGCACGGCCGCCCACCGCAUCCUCGUCGACGGUAAGGUGACUGUUAGCAGCGACGUCACCUUCGACGACGACCUCCGCGGCCUGGCGUCUCAACGGGCGGGCACCUCCUUCGGCGCUGGCCCCGCCCGUCCUGGCAGCGGCGACCCCGUCGGCGGCUCUACACAGCCCGCCACACCGCCGCCUCCAGUGGUUGCAUCGCCCCCAGUGAACCCAGCGCCCCCCCCCCGCCCCAACACACGCAGCCAACGGCAACCUCUUCACCCGCCGCUGGCCACGGUCUGCCCAGCCAACAACAGCAGCGGCGGCGGCGGAGAUUUGGGCAGUCCACCGCUGCUUAACAAAGCGUCGGGAAGCACAAAUUAUGCUGAGGCAGGCGACGGCAAUGCGGGCGGCGGAGGCAACAGCGCGGUGCAGGAGCCGCGCAGUUAUGAGGAAGCGGUGGCGAGUCCGCAAGCGGACAAGUGGAGAACUUCGAUGGAUGACGAGAUUCUGUCGCAGCUCUCCAACAAGACCUGGGAGUUGGGCACGCCGCCACCUGGUGCACGCAUCCUGGACUGCCGCUGGGUCUACAAAAUCAAACAGGAGCCAGGCGGUGAGGUUACAGCAACGGCGACCCGUCACAGGCGUGCCGGCUGUUAAAGUCUGUUUACGGCCUCAAGCAAGCCCCACGUUGCUGGUACGAGAAGCUGGCAGCGGAGCUGGGCAAGCUAGGCUAUGAACCGUCUGCGUCCGACCCCGUGCUAUUCGUCAAGAGGGGGUCCGAUGGCUCAAUCGAUGUGCUCGUGCACGUUGAUGACAUGCUGGUGGCGGCGGACAACCCGCAGUUGGUUGCGGCCGCCAAGGCGGCCAUAGCUGGUUGCUUCGCUGUACGAGACCUUGGAGAGGCGCGCUACUACCUCGGCAUGGAGAUCGUCCAGGACCGCCGCAACCGCAGCAUCAUGCUCACGCAGCAGCUGCUUCAGCGCCACAGCCUGGAGAACGCCAAGCCACGUGCCACCCCGCUACCCCAGGGUACGCGGGUUCUGCCAGCCAGUGACACCCAGCCGAUAUUGACGGACAGCAGUGGCUACCGCGCGCUGGUGGGAGAACUAAACUACCUCGCUACCAGCACACGCCCAGACAUCGCACACGCUCUGAGCAUGCUGGCGCGGCACAUGUCCGCCCCCACCAAAGCGCACAUGGGGCUCGCUCUGGGUGUGCUGCAUUACGUCUCUGGCACUCGGGCGCUUGGUCUACGUUACUGUGGCGACGCCAGCAAUUUCUGUGGGUACAGCGAUGCAGACUGGGCCGGCGACCCAACCACCCGCCAGUCCACCACUGGCUACGCUUUCUUGCUCGGUGGCGCGGCGGUCAGCUGGAGCAGUCAGUUGCAGCGCACCGUAGCUGCCUCCUCCGUGGAAGCCGAAUACCAGGCCGCAGCAGCAGCCGUGCGCGAGGCGUUGUGGCUGCGCAAGCUGGCGAGCGAUCUGGACCUUUCCCCGGGUGCUGUCAACGUCCAGCUGGAUUCGCAAGGCGCGCUCAGCCUCGGCAACAACCCCAUCACGUCGGUGCGCUCCAAGCACAUCGACGUGCACCAUCACAUCGUGCGCGAGAGGGUCGCGCGUGGUGAGGUGAAGCUCAGCCUUUGCACCACCGACGACAUGGUGGCUGACAUCCUAACCAAGGCACUGGGCGAGGUCAAGUUCGUGCGCUGCCGCACAGCGCUGGGCGUCACUUAGAUCGCCAGAGGAGGAGUGCUGAGGGCUUCGAGGAAUUGUUUUGAGCUAGGCUUUAGGGGGGUGCUGAGGGUGCGUGAGCAGGCGCCCGAAUGGGCAGGUCAAUGCCCGAAGGGGUGCCGUAGGCAGUGCGUAUGGUGCUGUACGGCACUGUUUUCCCUGUUUGUGUUUGAACAGCAGCACCAGACCGCAUAGCCAUCAGGCUGAAGGCUGGCAAGCUGCGUUUGUGUUUGUUGAGUGGUGAGCAGUCGGCCUGGACCGCGGACUUGGUGGCCGAGCUAGCUCGUCGGUGCUAACAAUUUGUAGUAAGGCCCCUAGUGCGACACGAGGGGGCGUGUUGAUGCGAAGGGUUGCCGUGUCGCCCUGUGGCCUGCUUGGGUAACUUGUCAGGCUGUCGUGAGUGACAGCUGUGGCCGGUCUGAGGUCGCAUGUUAGACUGAGUAACAGCUUUGGACCAACAGCUUUGGACCUGUCUCGGGAGGCCCGUCAUAAUGGCUAUUAGGUUCUAGCGUACUGAUAGCUCUCGUCCUUUGGGAUAGGCUUUCCAAGCCUUUAUAAGUCUCUGUUGUUUAUCGGUAACAGUACCUCAGAUUCACACGUUUACGCCUAGGCAAAGGGGCUUUCGGUGGUAGGUCGCGGAUCUCCCGAAUACGUGUAACGGCUAAUGUCUC
rnacentral:lncRNA from 1 species